rnacentral:rRNA from 1 species
UACGUAGGGUGCGAGCGUUUGUCCGGAAUUAUUGGGCGUAAAGGGCUCGUAGGCGGUUUGUCGCGUCGGGAGUGAAAACUCAGGGCUUAACCCUGAGCCUGCUUCCGAUACGGGCAGACUAGAGGUAUGCAGGGGAGAACGGAAUUCCGUGGUGUAGCGGUGAAAUGCGGCAGAAUAUCAGGAGGAACACCGGUGGCGAAGGCGG